rnacentral:rRNA from 1 species
CGUGGGUAACCUGCCCAAGAGACUGGGAUAACACCUGGAAACAGAUGCUAAUACCGGAUAACAACACUAGACGCAUGUCUAGAGUUUAAAAGAUGGUUCUGCUAUCACUCUUGGAUGGACCUGCGGUGCAUUAGCUAGUUGGUAAGGCAACGGCUUACCAAGGCAAUGAUGCAUAGCCGAGUUGAGAGACUGAUCGGCCACAUUGGGACUGAGACACGGCCCAAACUCCUACGGGAGGCAGCAGGG